CGGGUGAGUAAUGUAUGGGGAUCUGCCUGAUGGAGGGGGAUAACUACUGGAAACGGUAGCUAAUACCGCAUAACGUCGCAAGACCAAAGAGGGGGACCUUAGGGCCUCUUGCCAUCGGAUGUGCCCAGAUGGGAUUAGCUAGUAGGUGGGGUAACGGCUCACCUAGGCGACGAUCCCUAGCUGGUCUGAGAGGAUGACCAGCCACACUGGAACUGAGACACGGUCCAG
rnacentral:rRNA from 1 species